GAUGAACGCUAGCGGCGGGCCUAAUACAUGCAAGUCGAGCGGCAAGUUGAGAAGCAAUUCGAGACCUAGAGCGGCGUACGGGUGCGUAACGCGUAUGCAACCUACCUCAUACAGGGGGAUAGCCCGGAGAAAUCUGGAUUAAUACCCCAUAGUACAUAUAGAGGGCAUCUGAAAUAUGUUAAAGAUUCAUCGGUAUGAGAUGGGCAUGCGUCUGAUUAGCUAGUUGGCGGUGUAACGGACCACCAAGGCGACGAUCAGUAGGGGUUCUGAGAGGAAGGUCCCCCACGCUGGCACUGAGAUACGGGCCAGACUCCUACGGGAGGCAGCAGUAGGGAAUAUUGGGCAAUGGUCGGAAGACUGACCCAGCCAUGCCGCGUGCAGGAAGAAGGCCCUCUGGGUUGUAAACUGCUUUUAUCUGGGAAGAAAAGGCCCGUGCGCGGGACAUUGCCAGUACCAGAUGAAUAAGCACCGGCUAACUCCGUGCCAGCCGCCGCCGUAACAC
rnacentral:rRNA from 1 species